rnacentral:rRNA from 1 species
UACGGAGGAUGCGAGCGUUAUCCGGAUUUAUUGGGUUUAAAGGGUGCGUAGGCGGAAUGCCAAGUCAGCGGUAAAAUCGCGGGGCUCAACCUCGCUCCGCCGUUGAAACUGGCGUUCUUGAGUGGGCGAGAAGUAUGCGGAAUGCGUGGUGUAGCGGUGAAAUGCAUAGAUAUCACGCAGAACUCCGAUUGCGAAGGCAGCAUACCGGCGCCCAACUGACGCUGAAGCACGAAAGCGUGGGUAUCGAACAG